CUCGAUCUGUCUCUCGCACCUGCAUUGUUCAGGCACAUGCGAUGAUUUUUCUAUGCCUGUUUUCACAAUGAAACUGUGUUAAGCUUUGACAUCAUAAUGAGUCCUUGGGGCAUCUGUAUAAGUCAUCAGAGAUGGCAGAGAAAAUGUAAGCCAGGUAUUAUCAAACAAACUAGAAAGAGCGCGUAAAUGCUUAUUUACUAUGUGAGAGACACUGGUCAGCAUUGCUGUGUUGGGCUGCUGGGUUAGGAAAUUUAUCCUAAAAUAUAUCUCUUUAAAAACAACCCCUGCUCCCCACGUGGUGAUUAUUGGAAACGUUGGGAGGGGGAGGAAGUGUUUCAGCUGAAGCGUGAGGGGCGUUGUGCUGAUGAGCCGGAUGGCACCCGGCGGUCUCUCGCAAGGUGCCUGCCUCUCAGACCGCGGUGACUUCCAGCAGGGCUGGACGGGAAGGCAGUCGUAACCCCUGUGCUAACCAGGGUGUCUGGUCUCGAGAGGGCAGGCAGGAGGCUCAGGACUGGGAGGAAUCCCCUCUGAAAGCCAGAGGGAGGUGUUCUCGGCGACUUGGGACCUCUGAGCCUCCUCCCACAGAAACCACAGUCAGCGCCUGUUCCGGGGAGCUCCUGCACUGCUUGCUUGGCGGUGGCUGUGCCCUCGCUCUGCCGGGGCAGGGCCCGAUGGAGCGGCCUCGCGUAGGGGAGUGGGGUCAACAUGGGCCCCGGGCUCUCCAAGGCAGACUCAGCCCUGCACGUGUGGAGAAGUAAGCUGCGUAGCCGGGCUGUGCCGAAGGGCUCCGACUGUCCGACCCAAAGAGAAGCUCACGUUGGGGCCGAGGUGCACGCAGCUGCCGCCCGGGCGUCCGUCUGACCCGCGUGGACGUCUGCAGAGUCUGCGAGCGCGGUAGGUGAGCACGGCUGGGCUGUGCUUUCUGGGGCUGUCGGGAGUCUUAGCUGGAAACAAGCAGAACGUGGGAUGCAGUGACGCCUGGUGUCCAGUCGGGCCGACUGAGCCAGGGCUCCUCGGUGUUCUUGCCAUCUAGAUGCCUCGGUUCACUCUCUUGCUUAGUUGAUUAAAUAUGCACGUGUUUAAUGGUCCAUCAGCUCUGACCGGUUCUGAUAUCUUUACACUGACGAGAAUCCCGUGUGUGAUCCGGGCAUUCCAGGAGCGAGCCCAGUGAAGCCAAGCAGACACUCACGGACAAGCGUGCUUAGAUUUCCACACGGUGGUUCUCAUGCCUUCAUUUUCCAUUCCUGACGCUCACACGCGUGGUGUUUUAUAGAUUUGGGGCUGUUUCCACUCGAAUUCUGUAAUGAGGCCUCAGAGAAACUCCACAGACUAAUCGGUGGGGUGCUGAGUGAGCCCGUGACCCAGGACCCACUGUCCUGACACCCCUGGUCUUGCAGGUGAGCAAGGGACUGGCUAGAGCUCGGGGGCAAAGGCGACGCUUUGUGAACUGUCCCUUUGCUAAGCUCCUCUUCACUGCUGACGUACAUGAAAAGGCAGACUGAAUACGUGUACACUCUCACACGUGAGGAGGCAGGGUGUUAAUAAGAUCGGUCGGCCCGCAUCCUGCGUUGCUUUGUGUUGGGCCUCGGUGUAAACUCCUGACCUGUUGUUUGCAACCCUCGCAGCCCCCUUAAAAAGCAAAGACCAUUACCCCCUCGUAACGUGAGGCUCCUGUGCCCAGGGAGGUGGACCCCCCAGCCUGGGGUCACACAGAUUUCAGAGAAUCCACCCAGCCCUUCGGGCCUCGAUUUCCUUUUCCUGGGGUGACGUGUCCCAGGAGACCGCGUGUGUCCCUUCCACCACUUGUCUUGAGACGUCACUUCAUUGACCUUCAGCCUGAUCAGUGGGGAGCAUUCCCUUGACCAGAGGACAAGGGAGACCCCUGCCCUGUCCAUGACCUUGAAGCAUACUCAAGGCUUCUCUUUUUCUUUUGACCGUGAGUGGCUGGGUUGGGAAAUGUGGCUCUUACAAAUAAGACAGACUCAGUCCCCAUCCGGACUGUGAGGAAUGAACCAAUAUUCUCUAUUUACCAAAUGACUUUUAAUUGUUCAAACAUUAUACCUGUUUCAGAGCGUCAUCUCUCUACUCUCUCUGAUGUUUCUGAGGCACUGUCUUCCAAACAUUGUCAUUCCUACUAAUACCAAACUGCCAGAGAAGGCGGUUUUUCAAUUUUAG
ensembl:lncRNA